rnacentral:lncRNA from 1 species
AAUAAGUACACGAAACAAUCCUUCUUUUAUUUAGAGAAAUAAAAGUAAGGUAAAUACAAGUUUCUGAAUAAAUAAACUUUACUGUGAUUCAUAUAUUGAAGUAACUAUAACAUUGUAAUUUUAGUAUGCUGUUAUUGGUUUUCUGCCAAUGUGUAUGACAAAGAAGAGAAUAGCGAACUGGAGAUGUCUGGUAGGCUUUAAAUAAGAAAGACCACGGAUUCAUUUUUACAUUCAUAAUUAAGAAGAAAAAAGCAAUGAAAAUUUUUGAAUUGUCCCUUUUAGGAAAUUGGACCUCAUACAAAUAAUUUCAUAUAUACGACUUUAUGUUUUAAGGGAUAAAAGUGAAAAUGUCGAAAAAAGGAGAAAAUUAACUGUUAAGCAAAAAAAAAAAAAAAAAAAAACCUAACCGUUCCUUAAUAUUUGAUUUAUUCACCAGUUGUGUGUUUUGCUUCUUAAAUUAAUAUUAUCUGUUUUAAUUUUCGCAUCCGAGCUUUUAAAAAAGAAGACAAAAUGUAAGCAAAGUCAUGUUACUUGCUUAAGGUAGCAC